GAUCAUGGCUCAGGACGAACGCUGGCGGCGUGCUUAACACAUGCAAGUCGAACGAAGAGCGAUGGAAGCUUGCUUCUAUCAAUCUUAGUGGCGAACGGGUGAGUAACGCGUAAUCAACCUGCCCUUCAGAGGGGGACAACAGUUGGAAACGACUGCUAAUACCGCAUACGAUCCGACUUCGGCAUCGAGGAUGGAUGAAAGGUGGCCUCUAUUUAUAAGCUAUC
rnacentral:rRNA from 1 species